rnacentral:rRNA from 1 species
AUUGAACGCUAGCGGGAUGCUUUACACAUGCAAGUCGCACUGAGUGGCGGACGGGUGAGUAAUAUAUCGGAACGUGCCCAGUAGCGGGGGAUAACUACUCGAAAGAGUGGCUAAUACCGCAUACUAUUUGAACGGCCGAUAUCGGAUUGGCUAGUUGGGGGGGUAAAGGCUCACAAAGGCAACGAUCCGUAGCUGGUUUGAGAGGACGACCAGUCACACUGCGACUGAGACACGGCCCAGACUCCUACGGGAGGCAUAAGGGGGGAAUUUUGGAAAAUGGGGGAACCCCUGAUCCAGACAGCCCGCGUGUAUGAUGAAGGCAGUCGGGUUGUAAAGUACUUUUGGCAGAGAAGCGGUAUCUGCAGAAUAAGCACCGGCUAACUACGUGCCAGCAGCCGCGGUAAUAC